rnacentral:rRNA from 1 species
AUUGAACGCUGGCGGCAGGCCUAACACAUGCAAGUCGAACGAGUGGCGGACGGGUGAGUAAUGUCUGGGAAACUGCCCGAUGGAGGGGGAUAACUACUGGAAACGGUAGCUAAUACCGCAUACCAUCGGCUAUGCCCAUAUGGGAUUAGCUUGUAGGUGAGGUAACGGCUAUCCUAGGCGACGAUCCCUAGCUGAUCUGAGAGGAUGACCAGACACAAUGGGACUGAGAAAAGGUACAGACUACGAAGGGGGGCAGCAGUGGGGAAUAUUGCACAAUGGGCGCAAGCCGGAGGCAGCCAGGCCGCGUGUGUGAAGAAGGCCUGCGGGUUGUAAAUUACUGUCAGCGGGGAGGCGUUACCCGCAGAAGAAGCACCGGCUAACUCCGUGCCAGCAGCAGCGGUAAUAC